GCGAUAUUGGUGGAUGUUGUCCAAUACUGUCGUGAGAGGCCCGCAACAAGUUGGGGAAGACGCCUUCUCCUUACGACGCCCAACAACAGCGGAUUAACCAUCCAACCAGAAAUGCCACAUGCGCAUACACUCUCGCAACGGAUGGCAAAACUGCUGGAGGCGCAUGGAAAAAGGUCAUUGGAACAAGAUUCAUGCAUCUCACCACCACGACGAAGCCGCGAAAUUGGCACCAACGGGCAAAGAAGGGCUGCAGAAAUGAUCGCAAUGCGGGGUGUGUGUUAUUGCAUAUGCGUUGAUGUGUGCGUGUGAUACAUCGCGGACCCGGUACCGGAACAACGGCCGGCUGCUGCUCCUUCCAGAAGCUAUUUUUAUACCGGCCGGCAUUUUCGCUUGGUUGGUGCGUCGACGUCGCCUUGAGCCAACGUUCUGCUUUUCCGGUUAAUCGCCGUCGCCUUCUUUGAUGGUGUGUGGUUUGGGUGGUGUACGCUGUGCGUUGCCAAUAUGCUGACGGAGUUUUGCACGUGUAGGUUUGUCGGCUACACGUUGACGGGGCGUAAGAGUGUGUUGGUGCGGACGACGGACGAUGAUGCUGGAUAACGAUGCAGCUGGAUGGAAAAGUGUCUAGUAGAGCCGUGCAGGUUAAUCAGAGAUUAUUUUAACUGGUGCAAAUUCUGAAAAUGAUAGUUUUCAGUAAGCCAGAACUCCUGUUUUCAUUAGCUGUACUAGACCUAAAACCAAAAAUAGAAUACCGGUCCCGGACGUCAUCCACAACGCAUCCAACGGUACAACAUGCACCAAAUGACCUCUAGCCGUGAGGAAGAUGCCCUUUUCUUUCAAAAAUAAAACCCCGAAAAAGAAUCGAUGAUUCGAACCCGGUGUCGGGAGGGACCAAAAAUAGAAGAAAGCCCCGUUGGAGUCAUUCUCCAACUAAAGAUCAAAAAAUACAAUUAAUCGAGCCCCUUGCGUACUGUAAAGACUAACCACGCACCGACAUGGUGCAAAUUAAGUCUGGUAGAGAACAUGGACAGCUAAACACCUAACCUAAAGCCAGUAAAAAGAAGGCCCAUCCUCCAUUGGCAGUGUUUAAGGAUGGAACUGAUAAUACCAGUUCGCAAUAUGAACAAGCAUACUGAUAAUUCCCCUACGACGACUGCGAUGGGAUCAACCGAACAUCGUCUUCAGAAAUG